rnacentral:rRNA from 1 species
UGCCUUAUACUAGGGGAUAACAGCCAGAAACGACUGCUUAUACCGCAUAAGCGCACGGGACCGCAUGGCCCUGUGUGAAAAACUCCGGUGGUAUAAGAUGGACCCGCGUUGGAUUAGCUAGUUGGCAGGGCAGCGGCCUACCAAGGCGACGAUCCAUAGCCGGCCUGAGAGGGUGAACGGCCACAUUGGGACUGAGACACGGCCCAGACUCCUACGGGAGGCAGCAGUGGGGAAUAUUGCACAAUGGGGGAAACCCUGAUGCAGCGACGCCGCGUGAAGGAAGAAGUAUCUCGGUAUGUAAACUUCUAUCAGCAGGGAAGAUAAUGACGGUACCUGACUAAGAAGCCCCGGCUAACUACGUGCCAGCAGCCGCGGUAAUACGUAGGGGGCGAGCGUUAUCCGGAUUUACUGGGUGUAAAGGGAGCGUAGACGGCGUAUCAAGUCUGAUGUGAAAGGCAGGGGCUUAACCCCUGGACUGCAUUGGAAACUGGUAUGCUUGAGUGCCGGAGGGGUAAGCGGAAUUCCUAGUGUAGCGGUGAAAUGCGUAGAUAUUAGGAGGAACACCAGUGGCGAAGGCGGCUUACUGGACGGUAACUGACGUUGAGGCUCGAAAGCGUGGGGAGCAAACAGGAUUAGAUGCCCUGGUAGUCCACGCCGUAAACGAUGAAUAUUAGGUGUCUGGGAGCACAGCUCUUAGGUGCCGCCG